UACGGAGGGUGCGAGCGUUAUCCGGAUUCACUGGGCUUAAAGGGUGCGUAGGUGGGCAGGUAAGUCAGUGGUGAAAUCUCCGGGCUUAACCCGGAAACUGCCAUUGAUACUAUCAGUCUUGAAUACCGUAGAGGUAAGCGGAAUAUGUCAUGUAGCGGUGAAAUGCUUAGAUAUGACGUAGAACACCAAUUGCGAAGGCAGCUUACUGGGCGAAUAUUGACGCUGAGGCACGAAAGCGUGGGGAUCAAACAGG
rnacentral:rRNA from 1 species